rnacentral:misc_RNA from 1 species
GCGUCCGCCGCCGACCGACGGCGGAUGAGUCGGUGGCUGGAGACCACGAAGAAGGCCGAGCAGAGGCGAGCGCGCGCGAACCAACGAACCCUCGGCCCUCGGCUGAGCGUUCGCCCCACCACAUCCAGUCGUACUGCGAAUGCCAUACCGUGAGCUUCGUAUUCGUGUCAUUCCCGUGUUACUUUUAACCCGAACGCGAGACACCUAUCUUUUUAACUCUUUUCAUCUAAAAGAGAAUCAGAUAAUAGCUUCUUUUUCUUGAAUAGUUUUUCCUCUCCUAGUUCCGUCUUCAUUUUUUCUAUUACUCGAUAUAAACGGAAGUUACGUCAAAUUUUGCCGCCACGUUUUACCUUUUUUUUUUUCGAUAGAAAAAGAAAGUUUGCAUUUUCGCGGUAUAUUGUUAUAUGUAUAUAGAAUAUAUAUUUAUACAUAUAUAUACUCGAUGAUCGAGAUUAUUUGAACGUGUUAAGCGAUUGUUUGAUACGGUGUUAGAUCUAACGUUUGAUCAGACGCGAGUGAAAUCUCGCGAUUAAAUUUUUGUCUGAGAAAAAAACACAAAGAGAGAAAACGAGUAAAUAGAAAAUUAUCUCGAGUAUAAAGAGUUUAGGAAAAGCAUGCUGGGUGCUUCCAACCGGACAAUGCCGGCUGUGAAUUUGUCGUAGAAGGAGGGUAAAAGAGGAAAAAGAGAUCGGGAUUUUAGUUCGAUUAUGAGGCGCGCCUGAAGUCUUCGAAUUGCGGGUGGAGAAUUUUUAGGAGGCGGAGAAGAUGGAGUCGACGGGACUUGCCACUGAGUGGUCGUCCACAUUGUCGGACGCGUCUAGGGAUAAGAAGGAACGUAAUCGUGCUAAUGACGGCGUUAUAACGCCGAUUUUACCAACGACAACAACAACAACAACUAUUAUGACGACGAACUUCCGUAAGGAGUCCUGUAUAAAUUGGAUGAUGUGCGCCCUCUGUCUGGCGAGUCUUGCCGUAUCAGGUAUACUGACGUAUCGUGAGAUGCGCUUGGAAUCGAGGAUCGUUAAUCUCGAGGCAAGAUGCAGGAUCCAGGAUCCUGAUGUCCUCGUGCAAAGGCUCAGGAGGGAACUUCGGGAGGAAUUUGAGCAACACAGGCUUGCACCCGCGAGUGCUGCCUCCGCUGCACUAUUUAGGAUCAAACGAGACAUAGCCGAAUGCAAUUGUCCACCAGGUCCACCGGGGAAACCAGGUCCACCGGGUGAGCCAGGGAAAAAAGGGAAGAAGGGCAAAAAGGGAGAUCCCGGAGAGCCCGGGCCGCCGGGUGUGGCCGGGACGCCGGGCAAGAACGGUUUUCCGGGACCAAUCGGUUUGGACGGACCUAAAGGAGAUCCGGGUCGACCCGGUGAGAAAGGGCAAAAAGGAGAACUAGGAAGCCCUGGUUUUGAUGUCUUCUCAGCAGUAAAGGUCAAUGCACAGGGAUUGGGGUUAAAGAGGUCGGUGACGACCCUCCGUGGCGGGACACUAGGAUAUGCGGAAAUCGUCGCUCUGAAGGGUGAACCAGGAGAACCUGGGCCACCGGGUCCACCAGGUCCACCAGGAUCGGAGGGUCUCCCAGGACAUGAAGGAAGACAAGGGAUUCCUGGUGAAGUUGGAUCACCAGGUGAAAAGGGUGCGCCUGGACCUAUUGGUCCUAUUGGUCCAUCCGGUAUUCCAGGACUUUCUGGUCCUAAGGGCGACAAGGGAGAUAAAGGUGAACGUGGGAUGACGACUGCAUUGAACGGAGAUCAAUUUCCAACAGGAAUAUUGGAAGGUCCACCUGGUCCACCUGGACCGCCUGGGCCCCAGGGCGAGAAGGGAGAGCUGGGUCCGACAGGACCACCCGGUCUGACCGGCGAGAAGGGUGCCCGGGGAAAGCAAGGGAAGAGGGGUUUCAAGGGUGAGAGCGGUAUUACAUUGGCGAGGGGUCCACCCGGCCCACUGGGUCCAAAGGGUGAAAGGGGUUACCGAGGCGAAAAGGGCGCCAAGGGAGUCCAGGGCUCGCCAGGACCUAAGGGUGAACAAGGAUCUCAGGGUCUGCCAGGAUUUAAUGGAACCGAUGGGGAACCUGGUAUACAAGGUCCCCCAGGAUUACCGGGCCUUUCCGGACCCAAAGGUGAGAAAGGCGAGUACGGUGAUAUCGGACCACCUGGUCUCAUGGGACCUCCAGGUUUGCCUGGUCCACCGGGUUAUCCAGGGUUGAAAGGAGACAAGGGUGAAAAAGGCGAAUCGAAGUACAAAAAGUUGAGAAGAAGGCAGGGUGACGGCACAUUCGAAGUCAAUGCAGGUGAAGUGAUUAUGGGACCUCCUGGACCACCUGGACCAGCCGGUACUCCUGGAUUGCAAGGUCCACCUGGUAUCAAGGGCGACAGAGGGCACGACGGCGCCAAGGGUGAUCCUGGAGAGAAAGGUGCCAAAGGAGAUCCUGGUCCAAUGGGAUUACCCGGCCCCAUGGGACUGAGAGGGGAGUCCGGAAAGCCCGGAGAUUCCGGGAAACCUGGCGCCAUGGGACCCUCAGGACUAGACGGCAUGAAGGGAGCACAAGGAGAACCUGGUACGAAGGGUGAAAGGGGAGAUCCAGGAUUACCCGGUACCGAUGGGAUUCCAGGAACGGAGGGACCACCUGGUAAGAGAGGAAGAAAAGGAGACAAGGGUAACAAAGGUGAUCAGGGUGUACCUGGACUAGACGCGCCCUGUCCCCUCGGUCCUGAUGGCCUUCCAUUACCUGGUUGCGGCUGGAGACCACCUCAGGAUACGACGAGUACGUCGAUGCCAGUGAUCGAAGGACCAGAACCCGCGGAAACGGAUUACGAGCCGGAAGAGGACUACGACGACUAUUCAGAUCACAACGGGAACUUAGCGGAGCCAUAAUGCUCAUUGUGCGCUGCUGCCCUACUCACCACCACCACCAACCACCACCACUACUACUACUACAACCACCACCAUCACCAACACCCUCAUCACACGACUCACCCUGCUCUCCCAAACUAACGUGGUCCUGCCAAGAAGUAAUAUUCUGCGCCAAUGGUUGGCGGAGGAGAAGAAAGAGGAUAAAGAAGGGCAGUGACACAAAUGGUUUACCAAAAGUAGCGCAUUUUCAUCAAGGACUAUCCUAUUAUAAUCCGCGUCGCUAAAACGUACACAGAGAGGAAAAUCAUCAACCAAUGGACUAAAACUCACACACCACCGUAUUACGAAUUCGACGCGAUUGAAUUUAGCGAUAUUUUUCUUUUUAUUUUUUUCCCGGCAAACUGCACUAACUACUAAUCAUCUUGCCAGAGAAGAGGAGUGUUUGUAAAUAAGUGUACUUACAAGUGUCUAGCGUCCGCAGUGCGUGUACAUAAAUAAUUAGUUUACUGCUACUAUUAGGAUCCACGGUGAUGAUGAUGAUGAUGAUGAUGGAAAAGAUGGGUUAAACCACGAUCUCUCUUUUUUUACCUUUCUCUAACAAUUUUCAUCUAAUUUUAAUUUGUCAAGCCACUAUUAUUUUAAAGUUAGUUUAAAUGCAACAACGAGAA